rnacentral:rRNA from 1 species
GAUGAACGCUGGCGGCGUGCUUAACACAUGCAAGUCGAACGGAAAGGCCCAGCUUGCUGGGUACUCGAGUGGCCAACGGGUGAGUAACACGCGGGUUAUCUGCCCUCAACUUCGGGUUAAGCCUGGGCAACUGGGUCUAAUACCGGAUAUAACCAACUGUCGCCUGCUGGAUGGUGGAAAGCUAUUGCGGUUGCGGAUGGUCCCGCGGCCGAUCAGCUUGUUGGUGGGGUAAUGGCCUACCAAGGCGACGACGGAUAGCCGACCUGUGAAGGUGAUCUGCCACCCUGGGACUGAGGCACGGCCCAGACUCGUACGGGAGGCAGCGGUGGGAAAUAUUGCACAAUGGGCGCAAGCCUGAUGCAGCGCCGCCGCGUGGGGGAUAACGGCCUACGGGUUGUAAACCUCUUUCACCAGGGACGAAGCGAGAGUGACGGUACCUGGAGAAGAAGCACCGGCCAACUACGUG